rnacentral:rRNA from 1 species
UACGUAGGGUGCGAGCGUUAAUCGGAAUUACUGGGCGUAAAGCGUGCGCAGGCGGUGAUGUAAGACAGGUGUGAAAUCCCCGGGCUUAACCUGGGAACUGCAUUUGUGACUGCAUCGCUGGAGUGCGGCAGAGGGGGAUGGAAUUCCGCGUGUAGCAGUGAAAUGCGUAGAUAUGCGGAGGAACACCAAAGGCGAAGGCAGUGUCCUGGGGAGUACCUGACGCUCAGGUGCGAAAGCCAGGGGAGCGAACGGG